UUCUCUGCCAACCCGUAGUGGAUGGAGGUCUAGGACACCUGGAGGAUAAAGAAAUUAGCUACUCCUGUUACAUGGGGAGCGGGUGAGUUAAAUACAAGAGACAAACCCCUUCUGAAUCUCCAGUUGACAUCUCCAGUUGACUGUGGGUUUCUUAUAGAUUGACAUAAACUACUCACGUCUGAGUAAAGAUCUUCUGGCUCCUUCUUCUGGAUUCCUUAUAUGUGCAUGACGGGUUAAUGGUAAGACCCUUUGGUCAUGGGCUGUACUACUCUUCCCUUUCAUAGUAAGAGGAGGCACAGGACACUAAGUAACUUGCUGGGCUCAGAUAAAAGUGGUGGAAGAUAUGAAACCUAGCUUCCAAUAGUCCUCUAAUCUAAGCCAUUUUGCAUCUUCAACAACUUUUAUUCUAACAUGAGUUAUUUUCCAAUAACUUCCUCACUGCAGAUUUAACACCUGAAGAGAAAUACUAAACAAAAAUAGCUUAAAAUUAGGGAAUUUCUUGAAAAGUUUUGGUAAGGUAAAGGCUUGAUCAGGACUGUAGUUGUGGGGAUUUCCCUGGUGGCACAGCGGUUAAGAAUCCGCCUGCCAAUGCAGGGGACACGGGUUCGACCCCUGGUCUAGGAAGAUCCCACAUGCCACGGAGCAACUAAGCCCGUGCACAACUACUGAGCCUGUGCUCUAGAGCCCGCGAGCCACAACUACUGAGCCCACGCACCACAACUACUGAAGCCCGCUCACCUAGAGCCCAUGCUCCGCAACAAGAGAAGCCACCGUAAUGAGAAACCCGCGCACCACAACGAAGAGUAGCCCCCGCUUGCCGCAACUAGAGAAAGCCCGCAUGCAGCAACAAAGACCCAAUGCAGCCAUAAAUAAAUAAAUUUAUUUUUUAAAAAAAGAACUGUACUUGUGGAAGAUUAACCUGUCACUUUGUAGGACAAAUUUGAAAAAGAGAUUACUGAAGUGGUAGAACAUACCUCACUUGGGAUGACCCAGGGAGGCAGUAAAAAUUAAACCGUGGUUUUGUAACCAGCAAUGGCUCAUGUGCCAGCGGCAUAGAAACCCAAACUCUGGCAGCAGGUGUUUGCAGCAAAGUCAGGAUUUAUUACAAGUCUCAGAACCACUCCAACUUGGUCUUUGAGUGACGGGUUUUUUAAAGGGGAAGAACAGGCUGGGAUUAAUCAUCAUUCUGUGAUAUUUCUGUGACAUUUCUUAAUCAUUGUUUGGGGAAUCAGGAUGUCCCUGGUUUAUGAUUCUCAGGCAAGUGGUCCAUGCCUCUGGGGUCUAUUAGCUUGUCUUAUCCUGGAGAAACAACCUGAGUUUGUACAUUAACGGUGAUAUCUACAACAGCAAUUUUAGUCAUUUGACUCUGGUUGAUUAGUGUUCAGUUAGUUAGUUCAUUAGAUUAAUGGUCAGAUGGGACAAAGAAAAGAAAUACAGUUUUGGAUAGAGAGAUUAAUCAUAAAUUCAAUUCAAUAUCUUGUAAUAAUCUAUAAUGGAAAAGAAUCUAAAGAAGUAUAUGUAUAACUGAAUCACUUUGCUGUACACCUGAAACAACAUUGUAACUCAACUAUAUUUCAAUAAAAAUUUCAAAAAUAAAAAAAUCAUAAAUUCAGCAAGGUAACUUGAUUUUAGGGGGCUUGGCUUCAGUUUAAUCCAGAAAGAUGAGAUAUCAUGUUACUUAAUCAACAGAACUCUUGACAGAUGACUAGAUAUGAGGGCAGCCAAAGGGAAGAGUCUGGGUGCCUGGAAGAAUGAAGAUGAUAUUAAUGUAAAUAGGGGGGUCUCGGCAAGGACUGACUCUGUGGAUAAUAGUGAACUUCUGGUCUUUAAGGUGUGGUGCCGUACCUAGUAAAGGUGACCAGCAGGCAACUGGAGAGAGGCUGAGACUGGGGGGAUUGUUUUAGAGUCAUCCGGAGGUGAAAAUUAAAGUUCAAAAAGACUGUAAACACAGAGAAGAUAAUAGGAAACACCUGUAUCUAGGGGACAAGCAGUAAAAGAAAAGCUGAGAAAAUAGAGGUAUUCAGGGACGGAGGAGAACCAAGAGGGUGAUGUGAUGAAGAAAGAUUAGAACUAAGCAAAGCUGUUGAGCCCUGGUAAACCUGAUAUUGACAGGCACUGUGGUUUAUCUGGGAAAUGGACUGUGUCACACAUUCUGGAAACCAUUCUUUAAAACAUAGCCAAAUACAGUCAUGAAAAAAAUGAGGAAACAACUUUGGCUGUUUCCGUGUCAACUGAAAAAGUUCUGGAAAUAUCCCAUACGUUAUAUAUAGCAUGGUCCUUAAGAGUGCUGGAACACUCAGCUGCCACUUGACUUCCAGUAUACCUACCCAUUUAUGUGACUUCGGGUACUUCUCUGUGCUAUUUCCUGUCUUUCAAAUGAAGGACAAUAGUCUACAGCAUAGAGCUGUUUUGAGAAUUAAGUGAGCUAAUACUUCUAAAACAAUGCCUGGAACAUAGUAAGUGCUCAGUAAAUAUCGGCUAUUGCUUUCACAAUAGCUUUUAAAGCCCGGGUGAAACCACCUUUCUCUCCUGAAGUCUCAUCAGAACACUUUGGCUUGAUGUGCCUCCCACCUCGCAUUGAUGAUACAGCACUUAGCACAGGGGCCUGGCAAAUACGCCGAAGGCUCAGUAGUAUUAAUAACCAAAACUUAUAAAGCACUAUGGGCUGGACACUUUUGUGAGUGCUAUUGACUGAAAGAAAAAUGCACAAUGUAAGAGCUACGAGUUGAGUUUAUGCAGUGCCUUACUGGGGACUACAGACCAAGAGACAGCCUCUCAGAUAGCUCUGAGGAGGUAGGGGGAGAGGCCAGCAUAUAUGAUUUUGGGUAAUGAGCACAUACAAUCAAGCACACAUCUCAAUAGAAAGUUACUGCUAGUCAAGAGGAACAGAUAUCUCAGUUAAUGAUUGUAGUGCUUUUCUAAGUAUGGGAAAAUGCAAGAAUCUGAGUUCAUAAAAUUUUUUUCCUGAAAUAUAUCUAACCACCUAAGGGCCUGUUUGGCCUGUUUUCCCAAAGCACUGAGUGCAUCAUGCUAUUCUUCAUCCUGAAUUCCUUUCAGGGUGUCCUGUAGGUCAGCAACUGCAGUGGCUAAUGACGUGCUCCUUGUACAACUGGAUGGUGGGCAACAUUCUUUGCUUUACAGCGGUUUUAUUACAAGUAUUAACUCAUUUAAUCCACCCAAAGGCUCUGAGAUAGGAACCAAUGUAUCCCCACUUUACAGGUAGAGAAAUUAAGGCACAGAUGGGUAAUGUAACUAGUGUAAGCUUACACAAAAAGUUACUGGCAGAGCCAGGAGGUAAAAGUAAACCCAGGUAUCUGUUCCACAGCCCCUUCUUGUAAGUGCUGUGCCAUAUCGGUCCAUACAUCUUUACUAAUGAAGAGAAAGAGCAUUAUUUCUAUUGACCUGAAACAAACAGAAUGCCAACUAUUUCUCCAGGAAAGAUAGGUUUAUUCUGCGAUAAGCAAAGAAUUACACUUUAGGGUCUGCAACCACAGUGAGCCACAGCACAAGUCGUGUGUCCCCCCCCAGGGACAUUGUUGUUCUUCUUACAACACUUGUAAGAAGAAAAGGAAGUUGGGAGGGCUAUAAAAAACAGAGUCCAUGGGUUUUCUUUGGCUGAGUCGUUGCCAGGAAAGAAGACAGGUCUUCUCCCUAUCAGCCUCUGCUAACGUCACAGAGUGUGUGAGUCCCCCUUUCCAGUAUCCCAAGUCUAUUUAAUUGCAGUUUCUAUUUAUAAUUUUUUUUUACAUUUCCCACAGAGCAGAGCAGAGCUGAAGUUCAAAAAUUGGAUUCAUAGUCAUUAAGAGCAUAAAGCACCAUCUAUUCCAACACCAUUAUCUUAAGCCCCAGAAAGUGACACUCAGAGAGGGGUCUCCCCUGCAAGGUGAUAACCAGCCCACCAGGCCAGAGCCGAUGGAGACUCGUUUUCAGAGUUUCAGGCCCACAGACUCUUCUCCCUCUGGGGAGGUAGGUAAGAGGAGGGAGGAGUGUUUGCCACGGCCCCGCCCCCAUCCUUGCCUUCCUCCAGAGCAGAGGUGGCCUGCUCAGCAUUCCCUGGGACGUACUGUAACGAUGGGGAAGGCAGGAGGAGAUGAGACGUACUUCCAGAGGAGCAGUCUUUUCUGGGUCACCGUCAUCACCCUCUCCUUUGGCUAUUACACGUGGAUGAUCUUCUGGCCUGAGGCUAUUCCUUAUCAGAGCCUAGGGCCGCUGGGCCCCUUCACUCAGUACUUACU